AGAGUUUGAUCCUGGCUCAGGACGAACGCUGGCGGCGUGCUUAACACAUGCAAGUCGAACGAUGAAGCCUAGCUUGCUAGGUGGAUUAGUGGCGAACGGGUGAGUAAUACGUGAGUAACCUACCUUUAACUCUGGGAUAAGCCUGGGAAACUGGGUCUAAUACCGGAUACGACCAAUCUCCGCAUGGGGUGUUGGUGGAAAGCGUUAUGUAGUGGUUAUAGAUGGGCUCACGGCCUAUCAGCUUGUUGGUGAGGUAACGGCUCACCAAGGCGACGACGGGUAGCCGGCCUGAGAGGGUGACCGGCCACACUGGGACUGAGACACGGCCCAGACUCCUACGGGAGGCGAC
rnacentral:rRNA from 1 species